CCUACGGGCUGCAGCAGUGGGGAAUAUUGGACAAUGGGCGAAAGCCUGAUCCAGCCAUGCCGCGUGUGUGAAGAAGGCCUUCGGGUUGUAAAGCACUUUCAGUGGGGAAGAAAGCCUUGGGGCUAAUACCCUCGAGGAAGGACAUCACCCACAGAAGAAGCACCGGCUAACUCCGUGCCAGCAGCCGCGGUAAUACGGAGGGUGCGAGCGUUAAUCGGAAUUACUGGGCGUAAAGCGCGCGUAGGCGGUCUGAUAAGCCGGUUGUGAAAGCCCCGGGCUCAACCUGGGAACGGCAUCCGGAACUGUCAGGCUAGAGUGCAGGAGAGGAAGGUAGAAUUCCCGGUGUAGCGGUGAAAUGCGUAGAGAUCGGGAGGAAUACCAGUGGCGAAGGCGGCCUUCUGGACUGACACUGACGCUGAGGUGCGAAAGCGUAGGUAGCAAACAGGAUUAGCUACCCGUGUAGUC
rnacentral:rRNA from 1 species